GACGAACGCUGGCGGCGUGCUUAACACAUGCAAGUCGAGCGGUAAGGCCCUUUCGGGGGUACACGAGCGGCGAACGGGUGAGUAACACGUGGGUGACCUGCCCUCAGCUCUGGGAUAAGCCUGGGAAACCGGGUCUAAUACUGGAUAUGACUCCAUGACGCAUGUUGUGGGGUGGAAAGCCUUGUGCGGCUGAGGAUGGACCCGCGGCCUAUCAGCUUGUUGGUGGGGUGAUGGCCUACCAAGGCGACGACGGGUAGCCGGCCUGAGAGGGCGACCGGCCACACUGGGACUGAGACACGGCCCAGACUCCUACGGGAGGCAGCAGUGGGGAAUCUUGCGCAAUGGGCGAAAGCCUGACGCAGCGACGCCGCGUGAGGGAUGACGGCCUCGG
rnacentral:rRNA from 1 species